rnacentral:rRNA from 1 species
UUUUUAGAACAAUAGCAGGGUAGCUAAGGGGUGGUCGGUUCGGGGAGCGAUGGAGGCGGCGAGGAGCGGCCGCUGUAGCCACUCGCAUGCCUGGGCGGGCACCGGGGCUCUAUGUUUAAGGCGGUAGGGGCCUCCAGUGGAAAGUAGUGGUAGGCUCAAGACACCACGGAAUUUAACCACUUUAGCUAUGUGCCGAUAACCUUUGAAAUCUCAAAUCAGAGUAGUAUAAGUACUCAGUAGUUUUCGCACUUCGGUCAAGAUCGUUACUUCUAACCCGUAGUUUUGCGGGUUUUCCACGACGGUGAAGAUGACUUUUCCUAACAGUUCAUCUCUGACGAUCAAGAGUUCUUUGCUUACCACUUUUCUCUCUGUGGAGAGUUUUCCCUUCGUUGAACGGCGAUCUGGGUACGUAGAGCCUACUCUUUAGGCGUUGGUAGAGCCUUCAAGGUUCAGUCGUUCUCUACUAUGAUUGAUCACAACUUCGGCUACGACGUCUUCUGUUCCCGACGUCCGUAUGUUACCUCCUACGGACCCACCACGAAGGACUACGAUCGUACCCUAGAGGACCUUUAAACUCUAGACGUGUAAAACGUUAUAUACUACCCGUACCACCGGCGAACCGGCGCCUCAUACGUGUCUUCGUGAAUGUGGGCGUACAAUAACGACGUCCUAAUGGUGUACUUACAAUUUCACCGUUUCUUCCGGUAAUAACUUCCAAAGGCAUUUCGACUACUUAGUGAUGACGUUCUUUCACGAUUUCCUUUGACCGUUCUGCCGCGUUGUCGACAUACACAAACCCAGAACCCUGUCUGCCAACAUCAACGCUUACGACCCCUACGAUUUCGUCAUAAUCGAGCAAGAUGAAGUUGACUACCACUUCCACACCACCGACUGUGGUUUUCAGGUGACUUUCGAUAACAAAACUGUUCUCUUGUGUUUCGGUAGAAAGGUGUUCUUGCGAGCUCUUAGGUCUUCCACUUAUCGAAAUACCAAGGUUGUAAUUAAGUCAAGGGGGAGUAUUUAAUACAAAACGAAGCAAAACAUACAAGGGUUACUUUGUCGAGGGACGAACCACGGUUACGUUCCUACAACAUAGUAAAAAAAACCGUGGUAUUCAACAGUUUAGUCUAGACUAACCGUUAAUAUGGUUUAACUUCGGACUAUAAUAAGAUCAAACAAGUGUACUGAAAGAGCUUGUCAACUUAUAAUCGUAAAACCAACACGUAGGUUGGAUACGGAUCAACGGAACGGGAUUAACGAUGGUUAACAAUCGCUAUCCUUAAUCGACUAAACACUAUUCUUCAUGUUUAAACAAGAGGACAUCAGGUAAACGAGGAGAUAACCAAAAGAAGACACCAGAGUAAACGAGGAUUAAAAUGGUGACGAGAGGCUUACGGCAUAAACUACUCGUGGAAUGGUAACGUAUAGUUUACAAGUAAAACUACACAGAACCGAGUGCCAAUUAAAAUGGAACAAGAGCAUGUUUCCGAUUCUGAUGUUCCCGCGUAACUUCAUAGAUCUCGAGAACCUCUAGCAGUGAAAUUCUUCCACCCCAACUAACGUUGUGGUCUACAGGUAAGAAAACUUGAGUGUCACUUCCUGGUAAAGUAGUAAGAACCUACACUACCGAACACCCCUCACAAACCCGGUUCACUGCGACAACUUAAACAGGUCUUCGUUAACUUCCUCUGCAGGAGUCGGUGCGAGCGCCACGCCGCGGACCACUUCCUCCGACAGGCGCUCUCCGCCACGUUCCUAUUGACGUGACGACAAGACUAGCAGAAGUUCGUGAUCUUAACAAACCGACAACGUUGUUCGAAGAGUGUCUUGACUUGGGCUCUUCUCUUUAAACGCUUCUCGUUAUACACUAAGUUCGGAAGUACUAAAGGCACGAGACCGUUUGCUAACACGCACAGGUACUCUUGUGACAAUCACGUGAUAGACAUGAAGCAAAACUGUUAAAAAAAAAAACGAAAAAGGUUGGAACUAAGAACAUCGUUUUCGGGGAGAUUUGACGAUAUUUCUUUACAAUGAACCGGCCAGAGUACACUGGGUUCAGAGAAAAUGUCGAUAAAUGUUCCAGACUG